rnacentral:rRNA from 1 species
GGCGGCGCGCCUAAUACAUGCAAGUAGAACGCUGAAGAGAAGAGCUUGCUCUUCUUGGAUGAGUUGCGAACGGGUGAGUAACGCGUAGGUAACCUGCCUGGUAGCGGGGGAUAACUAUUGGAAACGAUAGCUAAUACCGCAUAAAAUUGAUUAUUGCAUGAUAAUUAAUUGAAAGAUGCAAUCGCAUCACUACCAGAUGGACCUGCGUUGUAUUAGCUAGUUGGUGAGGUAACGGCUCACCAAGGCGACGAUACAUAGCCGACCUGAGAGGGUGAUCGGCCACACUGGGACUGAGACACGGCCCAGACUCCUACGGGAGGCAGCAGUAGGGAAUCUUCGGCAAUGGGGGGAACCCUGACCGAGCAACGCCGCAUGAGUGAAGAAGGUUUUCGGAUCGUAAAGCUCUGUUGUAAGAGAAGAACGGGUGUGAGAGUGGAAAGUUCACACUGUGACGGAU